GGCUGAGAACCGGCUACAGAUAAUUAGUGGAGAGCCACAGCUUUAUGCCGUGGCUCUCGACAGGGGUGACUGGUCUUGAUGGAUGCCAAGGCUUUGCUUAUGGGACUGGUGCAAUGCUGGGGACAUGGGGAUCCCUCUAAGCAGGGGUUCUCUCCCAUGGUGGCCAUCUUUCUUUGUAUAUGCCAGGGAACAGCUGUGUAUCCUCCUGAGAGAACCCCACUUUUUUUUUGAGGCAGUGACCUUGCUAUGUAGCCCAGGCUAGCCACAAACCCAUGGUCUCCCACUCCCCUCACUUGAGUGCUAUGUUUACGGCUGUGUGUGCCACUGGGCCUGGCUCCCGGGAACACCUCAAAGCUGAGCAAUGCCAGGCCUGCCUGCCUGGCAUGCUCCCCAUCCCUUCUCCAUUCAGGGUGAAACUGAGGCCAUGCCAGUUGGUCAGAUUAAGCCAAAACCCCCAGGGUGAGCUCCAAAGGAGACAUAACAUCUACCUCCAGGGCUUCAAGAAAUUCUCUAAAUGGUUGCUGGUAAAAGAUGUGCCAGGUUAGCCAUGCGUGGUGGCGCACGCCUUUAAUCCCAGCACUUGGGAGGCAGAGUCAGGCAGAUUUCUGAGUUCGAGGCCAGCCUGGUCUACAAAGUGAGUUCCAGGACAGCCAGGGCUAUACAGAGAAACCCUGUCUCAAAAAACCAAAAAAAAAAAAAAAAAAAAAAAAAGGUAUGACAGGCAUGGUCCGUCCCCCCCCCACCUCCAGCCCUAGAAAGAAGUACCUAGUUUUGGGCUCUCCCCCUCCUUUCUUCCUUGGUGGAGAAAGGCCUGCUUCUGGUUUCCAGUCUGAACAGCCAAGUCCUUUCUCCUUCUUCGCUUUUUCUCUUUCUUCUCUUUCUCCUUUGGUGGUUCUGGGGGAGUCUGAAAAUAAAAUUGUGACAUUGUGUCCCCACUCAGCGCCUUCACAGCACAGACCUGUGUGAUUUUGGUCCCUGGAGAACAAAGUAUCAAGACUGGGGGACAGUUGCAUGCAGGCCUAUCACACACAUGCAUGCAUACAUGUGGAUGCGUGUGGACACAUGUGCACAAACAUACAUAUGCACAUACACAUGUGCAUGCACACAUAUAUGCACACACACAGGAAUGCAUGCAUGCAGAUGCAUGUGAACACAUGCACACACAUGUGCAUGUAUUCAGAGAUAUAUAGAAAACAGGUACACCUCACAUGGAACAUAGCAGUACACCCAUCUAUGCAGAGUCGGGCAAUGUGCAUAUACAUGCACACAAAUAGAAACGUAUAGACACAUACAAUAAAAGUUACAUGCUACAUAUAGAUCUUACACCGGCACACACACCACCGUGAGCUCCAUGAUCCAGGGACUACAUGCCACUUAUUAAAUAACUCAAGGAUGUGAGCUGAGAACCUACCACUAGCCAGGCAUGGCCUCUCCCACAUGCUGGCAGGAAGCCCCAUCUCCCAUCGGUCUUGCCCCCUCUCACCCAGCAGCCGCUUCCAGUUUUUAAUGAGGACUUUGGCCAAGGACACCACUUCCUUGUCUGAGCAGUGCUUGCGGACUCCGUUGACUGCCACUCCGAUCCUGGUGGUCUGUGAGGCAAUGGUUAAGGGAGCUGACCCGCAGGACCAGCCACUCUUACUGAAGGCAGCAGCCCCAUUUCAACCAUCGCUUCCCUCCAAUCUGACUUCUCCAGGGUCCUUGCCCUGACCCCCAGCAGAGGACAGGACCUUGGUCAUCUGUCCUAGAACUAGGCCCUAACCGCUCUCCUGCCUGAGACCCCAGUCUACGCUGAUAGGCAGGGUUGGUGGAAAGCUGGGGUGGGGUUAGUGUUGGCUGCAGCUAGGACCCUGGACCACUCUCAGUCCACUGGAUGCUUUGAAAAAAAGUCAACCUACCUCAGGCUGCCACAUCUUAGAUCUACACUGGUGCUUCAAGACCAGAAGUCUCCAGUAAAGUUUAGGGGUUUAUGGGAAAUUUAAGGAAGAUUUGAAAGCAGGGGGGGGGGCAUCUCUCUCUCCCUUGGUCAUAAGCCACUUGCAUCUCACAGGCUUCCGAUAAAGGUUCAAGGAAAACAUCUUAGACACAAGGACCCUGACCCCUGAGGCUGGGAAGUAACCCACUCUCAAGAGACGCUCUCAGCACCCUCAACUCCAUGUUGGCACCUCACCCCCAGGAGCACCCCCCAAAACCUCCACGGGGUCUUUCCCUCCCACAGAGCAACUACCUCAAGAGCCCCUCCUCCCACCUGUAGCAGCUGGAUGGACAUCUGGCAACUGUUCAGCUUCUUCAGAAGGUCCAGGGCCCCUUCCUGUGGGAAGUCACAAGAAAAACACUGAGACACAGAUGUUGCCCUGGGCCUCUCUCUGAUGGCUGUGGGCUCCUGGGCAGACAGACAGAUGUGUGGUUCAAAGACAGGUGUGGACACACAGAACUCGAGAAGGGAAAGGCUCUGGCCCCAGACCAGAUGGCUAGCGGCACCCCACCAUCACCUCCCCUCAUCUUUCCCCCUGCUUCACUUUCUGCCCAGCUUGUGUCUGCCUCAGAAUAGGGCGGAGCUUACCGCUGGGUACCUGAAGCUUGCAAGCCUCCUCUUGUCUCCCAAUUGCGGAGAUUAAAGAUGUAUGCCACCACCACCCAGCUCUAGACUUUGUAUUCUCAAAAUUUUAACAGGGUCUCAAUAUGUAGCUCAAGCUGGCCUUGAACUUGUGGUCCUCCUGCCUCAGCCACAUGAAUGCAAAGACUAAAGGCUGUUGUUACCAUGCUUGGUCACUUAAAGAAGUUUAUAUAAAAAGUGCAGUGUAGGGCUGGUGAGAUAGCUCAGCAGGUAAGAGCACUGACUGCUCUUCCAAAGGUCCUGAGUUCAAAUCCCAGCAACCACAUGGUGGCUCACAACCAUUUGUAACGAGAUCUGACGCCCUCUUCUGGAGUGUUUGAAGACAGCUACAGUGUACUUACAUAUAGUAAAUAAAUAAAUAAAUCUUUUUUUUUUUUGAGUGUGGUGUAAUCGUCAUCUUUCCCCCUAGAUUACUGUUUCUGAAAUCUAUCCAGACCACCUGAGAUCAACAGUUCCUUUUGUUCAAGUAGUUUUCUAUCAAAGCUAUCUGCUUCUCUAACAGUAUAAAAAUACUUAAAGAGUUCCUAGCAAUUAGUAUGAAUCCAGUGGAUGGAACUUUUGGGUCGCUUCAAGGUGGGACCACUUCAAAGACGGCUCCUACAAACCUUUACUUUCAAGUGUUUGGGAUUUGUUUGGAAACAAGGUCUCCCUAGCUCAGGCUGGCCUUGAACUUGUGAUCCUUCCGCCUCUGUUUCAAGAGUGCUGGGAUUCACCUUGGAGUCUCUGAAUGGACAAAUACUUUCAUUCCUUGGGGUUAAUGAGAACUGCUUUCAUCUCUAAGACCUUAGAAUACUGUAUGAGAGCCAGUUGCUCUCUGAGUGAACUCGGAAUGAAUGAAGCACAGGGCUGGAGAGGUUGCUCAGUGGUUAGAGCACUUGCUGCUUCAAAAGAGAACUCAGUUCCCAGCACCCAUAUGGUGGCUCACAGCCAUCUAUAACUCGAGUUCUAAGGGAUUAUUCAACACCCUCUUUUGGUUUCCUCAGGAACCAGGCAUAUUUCCUCAGGUAUCCAGACAUAACACACAUCCAGGCAACACUCCAAUACCC
rnacentral:lncRNA from 1 species